rnacentral:lncRNA from 1 species
AGGAAACUUCGACUACUCCCACAACCUCUGAUGUGGAAACUUCUACCAUUCCUUUAAUGUUGGGUAGGGAUACCAUUCCUACUACUGUGUGUGAGGAAACAACCAUUCCUGCAACCUUAGGUCAAGAAACUUCUACCCUUCCUGCAACCUUGGGUGAAGGAACUCUUAGUUUUCCCUCAACCUCGAGUGAAGAAAAUCAUAGCAUUCCCACUAACCUGGAUGAAGAAACUCCUACUGAUCCAGUGACCUUGGCAGAGGAAAGGCCCAGUAUUCCUGAAACCUUGGGUGAAGAAACCCCAACCGUUCCUCUGACAUUCAGUGAAGAAACUCCGGCUAUUCCUCCAUCAUUCAGCGAAGGAACUACUAUUCCUCCUUCCUUCAAUGAGGGAAGUCCUGUUCCUGUAGCAUUGGGUCCAGAAACUCAGACC